CUGCAAUUGGGUCAGAAUGCAAAUUCUUCAAAUGCAUUCUACAAUGGACAGAGAUGUCAGAUGUGUUUGCGGACUGAUUCUCUACACAAAGUGAUGGAGCGUUUGGCAAAUCCUGGGGUUAGGAGGCUUUUGAUUGUGGAAGCUGGCAGCAAGCGUGUAGAAGGGGUUAUCUCACUGAGUGAUGUCUUCAGUUUCCUGCUGGGGAUAUAGCUUAGAUGUUAAGCAAUUUGCAUGCUGUGGUGACAUUGGAGAGGACCAGUCUUCACUCAUUGUUCUCUUAGGUUGGAAGGGCCCCAUGAUUCUGACCCCCACACUUUUUCUUUUUUAGGAUAGGAAAUUCAAAGAGCAAAAAAGAAUUUGUAAAUUGUGAGUCUUCCAUUUCUCCCCCAUUUAACCUAAAUUGUUAUAAAGUCAAAUCAUGCCGAUGGACAAAACACCAUGUUUAUUAUUGCCAACAGAAAAUGAGGUUCAAGGUGCAUUGAACUGCCUAUGGCAACCCAUGCUGUUGUUAGAAUGUUGGUGAUUGAUUCAAUUUCAGUUUCUGAUCUCAGCUUAUUGAUUCUA